rnacentral:rRNA from 1 species
GACGAACGCUGGCGGCGUGCUUAACACAUGCAAGUCGAACGGAAAGGCCCUGCUUUUGUGGGGUGCUCGAGUGGCGAACGGGUGAGUAACACGUGAGUAACCUGCCCUUGACUUUGGGAUAACUUCAGGAAACUAGGGCUAAUACCGGAUAGGAGCUCCUGCUGCAUGGUGGGGGUUGGAAAGUUUCGGCGGUUGGGGAUGGACUCGCGGCUUAUCAGCUUGUUGGUGGGGUAGUGGCUUACCAAGGCUUUGACGGGUAGCCGGCCUGAGAGGGUGACCGGCCACAUUGGGACUGAGAUACGGCCCAGACUCCUACGGGAGGCAGCAGUGGGGAAUAUUGCACAAUGGGCGGAAGCCUGAUGCAGCAACGCCGAGUGCGGGAUGACGGCCUUCGGGUUGUAAACCGCUUUCGCCUGUGACGAAGCGUGAGUGACGGUAAUGGGUAAAGAAGCACCGGCUAACUACGUG